AUUGAACGCUGGCGGCAUGCCUUACACAUGCAAGUCGAACGGCAGCACGGGAGCAAUCCUGGUGGCGAGUGGCGAACGGGUGAGUAAUAUAUCGGAACGUGCCCAGUCGGUGGGGAUAACGUAGACGAAAGCUACGCUAAUACCGCAUACGAUCUAUGGAUGAAAGGCGGGGGAUCGCAAGACCUCGCGCGAUUGGAGCGGCCGAUAUCAGAUUAGGUAGUUGGUGAGGUAAGGCUCACCAAGCCGACGGUCUGUAGCUGGUCUGAGAGGACGACCAGCCACACUGGGACUGAGACACGGCCCAGACUCC
rnacentral:rRNA from 1 species